GGCACCAUGGCUUAGCUGAUUACAGCACCUGUUUUGUAAACAGGAGAUCCUGGGUUCUACUCCCAGUGGUGCUU